CGUCGCUCCUCUCCGCCCGGAUCGUGAUGGCCGCCGCCGCCGUCGCCGCUGACUCCAAGAUCGACAACCUCCGCGACACCGUCGCCAAGCUCGGCGAGAUCAGCGAGAACGAGAAGGCCGGGUUCAUCAGCCUCGUCUCGCGCUACCUCAGCGGUGAGGCGGAGCAGAUCGAGUGGAGCAAGAUCCAGACCCCCACCGAUGAGGUGGUGGUGCCCUACGUA